CUUAGAUUGACGUAGGCAAGAACCAGAUGUGAUUAAGAAUCAUCAGUUAUCGGUCAGGUCUGUUGCAUUAGAUACACGCCUAAAUUCAACAUUCACAC